rnacentral:rRNA from 1 species
CCUACGGGAGGCAGCAGUGGGGAAUAUUGGUCAAUGGCCGAGAGGCUGAACCAGCCAAGCCGCGUGAGGGAAGAAUGUCCUAUGGAUUGUAAACCCCUUUUGUCAGGGAGCAAAGUCACCCACGUGUGGGUGUUGGAGAGUACCUGAACAAAAAGCAUCGGCUAGAUCCGGGCCAGCACCCGCGGUUAUACGGAGGAUGCGGGCGUUAUCCGGAUGUAUUGGGUUAAAGGGGUGCGUAGGCGGGUGAUCAAGUUUGCGUUAAAGUCGUGGGUCUAAACUCCAUCCAGAUGGUGAAACUGAUGUGCUUGAGUGGGCGAGAGGUAUGCGGAAUGCGUGGUGUAGCGGUGAAAUGCGUAGAUAUCACGAGGAACUCCGAUUGCGAAGGCAGCAUACCGGAGCCCGACUGACGCUGAAGCGCGAAAGCGUGGGUAUCGAACAGGAUUAGAUACCCUUGUAGUC